UUAAAUUGCUGAAUUAGAGAUCGGCACUUAUAGUUAUCAUCUAUAAUCUGGAGUAUUAAAAUGUCUCUAAGUGUUGAAGUUAAAGCUCAAAUAUUAGCUAAUUUUGGUCGUAAUGCU
rfam:Serratia symbiotica str. &apos;Cinara cedri&apos;, complete genome.